UAAACUAGUUUAAAUAAAACAUUAGUUUUGGAUACUAAAAUUUACUUUUAUA
rnacentral:tRNA from 1 species